rnacentral:rRNA from 1 species
GCCUACGGGAGGCAGCAGUGGGGAAUUUUGGACAAUGGGCGCAAGCCUGAUCCAGCCAUGCCGCGUGAGUGAAGAAGGCCUUCGGGUUGUAAAGUUCUUUCGUCCGGGAAGAAAUGGUGGUCUCUAACAUAGGCCAUGGAUGACGGUACCGGACUAAGAAGCACCGGCUAACUACGUGCCAGCAGCCGCGGUAAUACGUAGGGUGCGAGCGUUAAUCGGAAUUACUGGGCGUAAAGCGUGCGCAGGCGGUUUGCUAAGACAGGUGUGAAAUCCCCGGGCUUAACCUGGGAACUGCGCUUGUGACUGGCAGGCUAGAGUACGGCAGAGGGGGGUGGAAUUUCCUGGUGUAAGCAGGUGAAAAUGGCGUAAGAAGAUUCAGGAAGGAAACACCCCGAGUGGGCGAAAGGGCAGUCCCCCCCCUGGGUCCCUGUACUGACCGUAUGCC